GACGAACGCUGGCGGCGUGCCUAAUACAUGCAAGUCGAGCGCAGGAAAUCGACGGAACCCUUCGGGGGGAAGUCGAUGGAAUGAGCGGCGGACGGGUGAGAAACACGUAAAGAACCUGCCCUCAGGUCUGGGAUAACCACGAGAAAUCGGGGCUAAUACCGGAUGGGUCAUCGGACCGCAUGGUCCGAGGAUGAAAGGCGCUUCGGCGUCGCCUGGGGAUGGCUUUGCGGUGCAUUAGCUAGUUGGUGGGGUAAUGGCCCACCAAGGGGACGAUGCAUAGCCGACCUGAGAGGGUGAUCGGCCACACUGGGACUGAGACACGGCCCAGACUCCUACGGGAGGCAGCAGUAGGGAAUCUUCCACAAUGGACGAAAGUCUGAUGGAGCAACGCCGCGUGAACGAUGAAGGCCUUCGGGUCGUAAAGUUCUGUUGUAAGGGAAGAACAAGUGCCGCAGGCAAUGGCGGCACCUUGACGGUACCUUGCGAGAAAGCCACGGCUAACUACGUGCCAGCCGCCGCCGUAA
rnacentral:rRNA from 1 species